GCGGGUCUUCAACCAGUUAUUUACUUACAAAUGAUAGGUUUUCAAUUCAAAAAGUAAAGGAAUCUUUAGUUUUCAUUCAUUCCUUUAUUGUUUCACGGCCUACAAAGUAAAUGUAUCCCUGUAACCCUUUUGGAUUCAUCCACAUGCCAAGCAGCAAAUGAUUAACUUCAUUUAUAUAACAAUAGGCUAUCGAAUGGAAAGAAGAGAAACUUCAAAUCACAAAAAUGAAACCAACUCACCGCAUUGUAGUAUAUGGAUUAACAUAUCUGACUAGGAACAACAAUGUCAUGAACAGCAUAACUUCUACCGAGCAUAGAUGCAGCAGCCAAAUGGAAUUACCUGAGAAUAUAUAUCAAUCAAGUCAUGAUUGAAGCACCAUAAUUAUGUCAUAAUCAGCUACUGGUAAAUGAAGGUAAUAGAGAAAGCAGGCAGCCUAAAUUUUUGGUCCAAUUUUACAAGGUAGUGCCCAAAAACAGCAGGUGAUGUUUAGCAUAACUAGAAGAGCAUAGUUUUUCACACUAGUCUUACCUGUUUGUUCAACAUAUUACUGUGGUUUUGUUUUAAAAAGCAAACCUAUAUUUCUGGUCAUAUUUUACAAGAUAAUAUCACAAAAAGCCAGCUGAUGUUUAACAUAACUAGAAGAGCAAAGCUUUUCACACUAAUCCAACUCUUUACAUUUGUCACACUAGAGGCACUGCAAAAAUAUGUAACAGCCUACCAAUCAAGCCUGUUCCAGAAGAAGAAAAGAAAAUUUAUUGCCCUAAGUAAUAUGCAUAACUGAUUGCAAUUGGCCAAGAUUUACUAAAGGGACCACUUCAAGAAUUAAAACUUUUCCUCCUAUUUAUAUAAGCAACCCCACUCCCCCAAAUGAAAAUACAUUCUUGUAGUUAUAUUACAACCAUAUCAUUUUCAGACGUCCAUAUCAUUGGAAGUGACCGUUCCCAGAACUUAUUUGUCCCUACCCUACUAUUCAAUAUACUUCUGCCAGCAGCAUCACCAUCUUGAUCAAUUUUUCAUAUUCAUUAACAUCCAAAUCUGGGAACAUCACAAUCAUUUUCAGCUCAACAACAUCAUUUCCACCACUAUGAAUUAUGAUCUCCAACUUCACCUCAGUAGCCCAAGAAGCACCAAAUGAACAUGGUUGAAGAAACAGAUACAAAUCCUGUAAGUCCUACCAAUCAAACACAGUGGAGUCCCAUGCUUAACCAAAUUCUAUGCAAAAUCCAAUUCCAAACAAACCAAAUCAUGAAUCAGGACUCCAUCAAACAAACUACAUUAACAGUCUUAUUGUUGACUAUGCAGACUUUAACAGCUAGAGUCAUGCCAUUAAAAUGUUUCUAUUGUCUAAAUCAAGGAUAAAUUACAAAAUAACUCAACUCAACCACGCCUUAAUCCCAAAAUAGUUGAGGUCAGCUACAUGAAUCAUUUUCCUCCAUUCUGCUACGUGAGACCAUACUUUCUUAAAGAUGUAGCAAUAUCAAGUCAUUCUUACUAUUUCAUCCCAUGUAAUUUUUGGUCUAACUCUACAUCUAUUUCCUUUUACAUAUAUUAAAUCACUUCGGUGUACCAGUGCAACCCUUGACCUAUGCUGUACAUGUUCAAAUCAUCUAGAUUGUCCUUCUCUCAAUUUGUCCUCAAUUAAAGCUACUUCUAGGCUUUUUACGAAUAACUUAAUUUUUUAUCUAUCUUUUCUAUUAUUACUACAUAACCAUCUCAACAUUCUCAUUUCGACUGCUCUUAUCUAAUGCAAUAAUGAUUUUCUACUUACGCAGUAUUUUGUACCAUAAAGCAUAGGUGGCUAUAUGGUUGUCCCAUAAAAUUUAUCCUUCAACUUAGCAAGUAUCCUAAGAUCAUAUAGUAUCCCAGUUGCACUUCUCCAUUUUAUUUAUGGAUAACAUCCUUUUCGAUCUCUCUUUAUGAAUAAUCGAUGCUAGAUACUGAAACUGAUUGCUAACAAAAAAUUCAUGACCCUCAAUUUUCAGUCUACUUUUAUCUCUAUUUCUAAUUUUACUAAAACUACAUUCUACUUAAAUUCUAAUAUUAUCAGAAAUCUUUAUAUUAUAAUAUACUCCUCCAUAAUUCCAAUUUACUAUUAGCUCCAACCUUAAUUUCAUCCACUAAUACUAAAUUAUCUGCAAAUAGCAUAUACCAAAGAACUCAUCCAUAACUAGCAUAAGAAGGUAAUGACUUAGAACACAUCUUUGAUAUAAAUCUAUUGUAACUAAAACUUAUAAAUAAUCAAUUCUAAAUACCAAAACUGAACACUCUUAAGAAUUUCAUGAUCCUCAAUUUUCACUCCACCUUCAUCUUUAUUUCUAAUUUUACUAAAACUACAUUCCAUGUAGCCCAUGUUAUUCCUACUUAACCUAAAAUCCAUGGAUUCUAAUGUGUUCUUCCAUAAUUUCAACUUACAAUUAGCUCCAACCUUAAUUCCAUCCAUUAAGAUCUUAUCAUUUGCAAGUAACAUAUGCCAAAAAAAUAUAUCCUAAAUAUUCCUAGUAAGCUCAUCCACAACUAGCAUAAAAAGCUAAGAACUUAGAGCAGAUCCUUGAUAUCAAGGUUUGUCGUACCAUUCCAAAUCAGACAGUAUGGAGCAUAUGGUAUCAUAUCGAUUCGAUAAUAAUAUACGGUAUGAGAGGCGUAUCAAUACUUGGUAUGCCGAAUCAACCCCGUAUCGACACAAUAACAGAUUGGCACUGGUACGAGAUUUGGUACCGAGACGACGGAUCUUGCUGGGUAUAAAUCUAUCAUGAUUGAAAACUCACUCAUGGUACCACGAAUAAUUCUCAUACUAAUAACAGUUCUAUCAUACAUGUCCUUAGUUACGUUAACAUAACUAAUGGAGACUCCUUUUCUAACACCUAUCAUAAAACUUCUCCAGGGACUCGAUCAUAUAUUUCUUUAAAUCAAUAUAAAUCAUUUGAAGAAGAAAAAUAAUUUUCACGAUCAACCUUUCUAAAAUAAAACCAAAUUAAUUCUUUGAUAUUUUUGUGCCAUACCUCAAUAUGUGUUCAAUCAUUCUCUAUCAAAAUUUUAUAUUAUGGCUAGGGAUGGCAACGGGUAGGAUUUGGGUCGGGUAUUGUACUAUCCAUCCCCAAAUCUGAACUUAAUACCCUAUACCAAAAUCCUACCCGAUAUCCAAUCGGGUAAGAAAAGAGAUACCCAUCCCCAUAUCCAAUGGGUUUGAGGAUACCCAUAGGUAAUCCAUUUCUCCAUACCCAACCUAUACCCGUCCCAUACCCAUCCCAUACCCAAAAAAAUAAACAACCAAAAUAAUUUUAUGCAUAUUAUCAACCAAAACAAAAUUAUCAAUUCAACAUAGAACAUAAUCUAUAAGUCCAGAUUUUUAGAAAUCAAACAUAGAAAUAGAAUUACAAUUCAGCAUAGAACAUAUAAAUAACCAAAAUAAUUUUAGGCAUAUUAUCAGCCAAAACAGAAUUACCAAAAUAAAAUUAUAAACAUAUAUAUUUGGAUAUGGGUUCGAGUAUUACCAUACCCAUAGGUUCGGAUCGAAUUCGGAUUCGGAUAGAAAACAACACUAUCCAUACCCUACCUAUACCCGUGCUAUAGUUUUCGGAUUUUAUCCAAAUCCGAAUCCAAACCCAGUCAAACCCUAUUUUUCAGAUUUGACUGGGUUUAGAUAGGGUGCAUACCUAUCGGAUCGGAUCGAUUUUGCCAUCUCUAAUUAUGGCUCAUGAAUUUAAUACCAUGAUAGUUUAAAAUUUUUUUGAAUAUCACUUUUAUUCUUAUAAAUCAAUACUGUAGCACUCUUUCACCAUUCAUCAAGCAUCUUCAUGGUUUUAGAAUUUUAAUAAACGAAUCAGUCAACCAAGUUACUUCUAUGUCAUCUUAACACUUUCAAAUCUUAAUAGAAAUUUCACAAGAUCCAAUCAUUUUUCCUAUGUUCAUUCCUUUCAUAAUCUCUUUUACCCCAGAUAUUUUAAUUCUACAUGCAUACUUAACAUUUCUAUUCUCAAGGAACAAGUAACCAUCUUAAAUUGUUUACAUGAUUUUCAUGGAAUAGCUUAUCAAAAUAACUCCUCUCUCUCUCUUUGUUCUCGUCUUCCUUAACCAAAACUUUUUAAAUUUUAUGUUUAGUGCAUUUAAUCUAAGUCUCUAGCUUGCCUUUCUCUUAGUCUUGCAACCCUAUAGAUAUUUUUCGAUCCAUCCUUAGCAUCUAACUUACAAUAUAACUUUUCGUGUGCUCUGAAUCUAGCCUCUCAUACCAGCUUAACUUUCUUUUGGGCCACCUUAUAGCUUCAUUCACUUCUCUAUUUCUACUUUUGGGAAAAUCUUCUAUAGCACUCUCUUUUAGUCUUAACCAUCAACUAAACUUUCUUAUUCCACCAUCUUCUUUACCACAUGGUAAAUUUCUAUUAAUUUUUCUACUACUUUUGCUUCACUUCCUUAGUAUUAUUAGCCAUCUCCUUUUACAUGGUAUUGAUUUUCUUAUCUAGAUCCCUUUCCUUCUUUCAACAUUCUAUCCUUAAAAGCCAUUUAUUUCUCUCUUUGCAUAUUCCACUACUUAGUCCCUGGGUUCCUAUUUUCUGGAGUCAUUCUCUUCCAUUUUCUAAUACACAUCCAAAACUACCAAUAUGUAUUAAGUGGUUAAACUACAACUCGGUAUAACUUUACAAUCUUGACACAAAACUUGAUCAGUCUUUCCACAGAAAUAUAUGACGGGUAUUAUACCCACUUUUAAAGGUUAUCAAGUGAGAAUCAUUUUCAAAGCAAGUGUUAGCUAAUAUUGGGUCAUAUGCCAUCACAAAUCCCAAAUGGUGUUUCCUUCUACAUUUCUAUCUCUGAAACCAUGACCUCUAUACAGCCUAUCAAAACCUACAUUGUAUUUCCCCAUGUGUCCAUUCAAAUCUUCUCUAAUGAAAAUCUUUUGUUCAUUGGGAAUCUCUUGAAUUAAUUCAUCCAUGUCCUCCCAAAAUUGUUGCUUUAUAGCAUCAUCCAAUUCUACUUGAGAAGCAUAAUUACUAAUAAUCUUAAUAAACUCCUUUCCUAACAUUAAUUUUAUCAAGAUUAUUCUAUCUCAUAUUCUAUUAAAUAUUAAUAUCUAAACUCAUCUUUUAAACUCUUAUCUAUAAAAAUUCCUGCUCUAUUUUUAUUCCAUCUUUUGAAAUAUACUAAAGAAUUUAACUGGUCUUGUAAACUUCAAUUGCUUUUGUCCUAUCCACUUAGUCUCUUGCAGGCAAGAUAUGUUAAUUUUCUCCUCCUAAUCACUGUAUCUAUUAAUUCCAUCAAUUUUCCGAUCCUAUAUUCCAAGUUGCUAAAUGUAUCUAAUUUUCUCGACUGACUUUUAUGUCAAUGCCCAUCUAUUCAAGUGUGAGAACCUUUGCCUAUUUCCCACCACAUAAGGGCAUCGUUGCGAUGCAUCACUUUCAGGAAAUGCCCUAGUUAACCCUUACUUUCCAUGGCACCUAGGAUCCAAUGCAGCAACAUCACUAAUUCUCUUAUAUGGAUUCAUGGUUAUAGGAUGUGACUAUAGUUUUAUGCUGACUGUCAACCUGCCAUAGUCCUCUUUAAUCCAAGCUUGGAGCCAGCUAUGUAUAAAACAUAGGCAAAAUUAACAUAAACAACAAAAUACUUAUAUACAAAUACAUAGAAAAAAUCAUUUGGAUCAUCCAAUUCCAAACUAGGAGUAUAAAUUUGAAGGGAAGCAUAUAAAUCUGUAAAAUUGAUUCAAAUAUACAAAAAUACAUUUCCUAGUCUUUUCCAUCACCACCACCACCGCCAAAUCAUUACAUACCAAAAUGGAGUCAGAUAUGGAGUGCAACUCUUGCACAAGAAGACCCCAUAGAAGGAUUUAGCAAAUCCCUGUGGCCAACUAUCAACAAGAACAACCCAAGAAUUGCUGCUGAAAUUCUUGUCAAGGCAAUGGGCCUUCCAUGGAACCUAGAAACGUAACUGCAAACAAGUAUGCCUACUUCACUGUUUGGAAUUAAAGCUCAAGCAACCAUGGAGUAACCCAAAGUCUGGAUGAAGAUGAAAAAUAAAAAAGCCUGGCAUAGGAAAUCAUAUCAUCUGUGCGCCAUUAAAAAUAACUAAAAAUCACCUGUUUCGGAAUAUGAAUCACCUGACUCAGAAUAUGAGUCACCUGAUUCAAGGAUUCCAAAGAAAUUUGACUCCUAUGCUCUCUAAACAAAUAACAAUUGCUAGUAUUUCAGCUAGAAACUCGAUUAGCAAAGAAAAUGAUACCUUGCCCAGGAACUACAACCUAAUGUUUCCAACAAAGCAGUCAGCUCCUGAGUAAGUACAAAGGUGAAUUUCCUUAAUAAAGAAUGGAGAGAAGAUACGUAGGACAAAGUGAAGGAAGGGGGAAUAGGGUUAAAAAGGAGAAAGGCAUAGAGUAGAGGACUGAGGGGAAAUAAAUGAGUAAAAUUAGAAGUACAAGAGUUGGUAAAAUCUUGAAUUUCAGAGAGGUCUGCACCAUCAACUCAUGGAACCAUUCCAUGUCUUCCACAUGGCUGACAACACGUAUGCAAGGAUAAAAACAAAUGAAAAUAUUGACUGUAUGGUAGUUCUUCAUAUGAGCUUUAAUCAUCAUGCCUUUAUUAUUAUUAAAAUCAUAACCUUCUUGAACUUCAGAUUAAUUAAUAAAACUAAAAAUAUCAAUAAGUUACAUGUGGAUGGAUGUAAAAAAACUUUAUCUCUUUGACAUAAUGACAUAAUUUAGCAUUUGCAGUGAUGCCACAAAUGGGAUAAAUAUUUUCAAAAAAAAAAAGCUUGUAAAUUAUAUAUAUAUAAUGAUUAUUUGCAUGAAAGGAAAAGUGAAGGAGCAAAAAGGGAUGGAACACCCUAUAAAUAUAUGGCAUAUGGUUCCCUUGUGAAGGAAAUAAUAGGUGUCAGAAUACAUUCCAUAACUAAAUUAACUAAACAAUGAUAAAAAACAACAUUAGACACACUCCUGAAUGAAAGGUCAUAGUAUAGUUCAUUUGGUUGUAGGCUCUUUGUGCUCAUAAGACACUCGUGACCAUAAUAGUAAACCAAAAAGAAUCAAAACCUCUAGAGCAAAGAAAAAAUGCAGUUUAAGUUUUGCACCAAAAACAAUAGUUGCCCAUUCCUAUAAAGCAAAUCGAGGUAUUUAGUUUGCAGGCACAUCAUCAAAAAUCUUCAGCAACUAUCUUGUAUCUGAAUUCUGGAACAACCAAGGUUCGAUAAGCAUAACUUCUUUCAAGCACAGUGAAAGUAUUAGUCAGUGGAGAAACCAUAAAGGUGAUCAAGAAAUGCUGGAAAAUAGUGAAACAACUUACACAUAUUAUGCAUUGUAAUAUCUCAUCAUAAAGUUUCUUAUUGUGCACAACAUAAAACUUCAUGAUUAGCAAGCUCACCUGGCUUCGAAUCUUCGAUCCUCACCUCGACACCUGCUAACCGGUGAUCUAGUCAAUGCCCACACUUGCCAACCACACUCAAGUUCCGGCUGGUUGCAUUGCAAGAGCCCACCGGACAUGAACACGAAUCUACUUGACCCAGGAGAGACUAAAUUAUCCUCCAGUAAGUCCUAAUAAACCUUGCAAAUCAAUGACAAUUCGAUUAAGUCAAGGGAGUUCAAGAAUAAACGUCCCGAUGAAUUAUUUACCAAAUCUUAAUUCAAACCACAGAAAUCUACUCUCUAAAUAGGCUAAAGACCAUGAUUAUCUCAACCAUUGACAAAUAACAAAAUAUUACCAUCUCCAAAGAGAAACCCUAAUCGUGUACCUCAGUAUACCUCUCUAGUCUAGUCUUCCUCGUGGCUUCCUCCUUCAUCAUCGCGUCUUAUAGAGACCAUCAGCGUGCUUUAGAAGACCAAACACGAGUGAAGAACGAAUGUGUCUCGGCCUCUCGUCUUUGCCCCGCCAGAACCGCUCCGUCCGCGGACCAUCGAACCGCCACGGGCAACAGCGGAACCCCUACCCACCGGCGGAGCAGAACCUCCCCAUUAAACCCUAACUCUCCACCAAGAAGGCCGAUUCCGAGCCACCACAGCCGGGGCCCGGCGAUCGGACCACCGGGAAUGAUGGAUAGGACGACGGCGACAAGGACUGCAUGCUCAUCGACGACGACGCGAGAGAACCCGAGCGCGGAGGCGGAGAACAGCCCGCGGCAAGGCGUCUGGCAGAGUAGCUGUUGAGAAGGUACCGAGAAGGAGAAUAUACCCGAUCUCGCAUUCUUAUUGGCGGGUGAGGGGCGCGUCGUACGCGACCGUAUCUAGAAAUAUUGGCC
rnacentral:lncRNA from 1 species